rnacentral:rRNA from 1 species
UACGGAGGGGCCUAGCGUUGUUCGGAAUUACUGGGCGUAAAGAGCUCGUAGGUGGCUUGUCGCGUUGUCCGUGAAAACUCACAGCUCAACUGUGGGCGUGCGGGCGAUACGGGCAGACUGGAGUACUGCAGGGGAGACUGGAAUUCCUGGUGUAGCGGUGGAAUGCGCAGAUAUCAGGAGGAACACCGGUGGCGAAGGCGGUUCUCUGGGCAUUACCUGACGCUGAGGAGCGAAAGUGUGGGGAGCGAACAGG